AUACAGGGUUAUUCAGGAGUAUUACGCUAACUGAAGUUAGCUUGUCCAUUUGAUUUCAAUGGCAGAACUCACUUCCGAUAGUGUGAUACUCCUGAUUGGUCCUGUACAUCGAAACGAGUGAUUGGAAUCUCCGAAGACUGAUGGGAGCAUCAGAGAUGAAAGGAGCGACGUGUGAAUUUCUCAUUAUUAUACAGAAAAAAAAAAAAAAAAAAAAAAGUAAUAGCUGGCCCUGGCAGGCGCUUCCGGUACCCUCUAAGGGAUGCAGAGUAAAGCCGCACCGAUAAUAUAAAGAUUCACUCAAGAAGCCAGUCACGUCUCACUAGGUAAUAUAUGCAGGGAAACUGAGUAAAACAAAACAGUUGUACCGAAAUUGAAUACAAAUUUUCAGAUGCAAAGUAAAAGGACGACAGAGACAGAAGAAGGAAGUGGACCCAUUCGAGCAAAGCAGCGAGCGCGUGAAAUGCGCGGGAAAUUCGACUGUGCGUAACAGCCGUAGCCACGUUAAUAUAUUUUCCAACUGAAAAUAUUUUCGAGGGCCAGAACUUGCGGAAUCCGAUGAUAAAAAUCCAUACCUUCUUGUAAGGGCAGAGAAGAAGUUUAUCCAAUUGAAUCUAAUUCAUUUAAAAGUUUGAUAGAAGAAGCAGCACGAGGGCGACCAGCGGACAAGGAUCACUGAUAAAAAAUUCGUAUCGGCUUGUAUGACUUAGGCACCUACACUCGUAUGCCACAUCGGACUUGGGAACGUAAAGAGUUGGGAUACCGAGGCAAGAGGGCAUAAAAAAAUGGAAAAUAAAGAAGUACCCGUAAACCAGAGCACCACUUGUGCUUUUCUGGGUAUAUUUGUCCAGAAAAUUCGACGAGUGCCACAAAAGGAGAAGAGGAGCAAAAAGUUUAUGAGGCUCAGGGUCUAGCGUCUUCGAAUGAAAAUUCAGGCAGAAGCGAAGAGGAGAAGAAUGAGUGAAAUGAAGAUCCUCAGGCCCUCGUUAAUAUUCAUCUCUCGAAAAGCAAUCGGCAUGGUUCGCCUGAUUCUACCAAGACGCUUCUGAUGCGUGAUACAGAGCAAGACAGAGAGAUUUCACCAGGAUCAAUGGCUCGUCUCCACCGGUGACUGCUGGACCAUGAUCUUCAGGUUGAUAUUCUGUCACCGAUGACGUUUGUCAGAUUACGCCAAUUGGAGAACGUUUAAGGCUCAUUUAAGCCGACGGUAUCGAGAAUCGUGACGUGUUAGCUCACACAGUCCAUCCGCUUGGAGGGAAACUGCGUUAGAGGUAUUCAGUGAGCGAAUGAAUAGGGACCAGGGAUGGCUGGCUGGUUGGCUGACUGGAAGGGUGGCUGGAUGGCUGGCUGACUGCCAGACAGCAAGUAACUUAUUAUAUCUGGCAUUAAAUUAUUAUAGAGCCCGCCCGACAAUGGGCACAGCCGAGUGCAUAGGAAACGAUUAAGCCGAACCGACAGAUCCAGAGAAUUGUGGAAGGGACUCCUCGUUUCACGCCACCACCUCUGGUAAUAGUGCGAUUCGUGUGAAGCAAAAAAAAAAAAGAAUAUAUGAAAUUAUGACCAAAAAAAAUAGAAGAGUGGAAGAGAAAAAUUAUAAAAACCUACUCUUGCCAUCUUCGUUCGCCCACCAUCCUCUUCGGAUGGACUUUGUGUGACGUGGAGAAUUUUUUUAAUUUCAAAAACCAAAUUGCACGAAAAUUAUACCUACCCCUAUGAUAAUGUACGCCCGUUCUAAAUGGACCGACUCGCGACGUAUAAAUCACAUCACCCACGUAUAAAAUACCGUACACU